rnacentral:rRNA from 1 species
CCUACGGGAGGCUGCAGUGAGGAAUAUUGGUCAAUGGACGAGAGUCUGAACCAGCCAAGUAGCGUGAAGGAUGACUGCCCUAUGGGUUGUAAACUUCUUUUAUAAAGGAAUAAAACGAGGCACGUGUGCCUUUUUGCAUGUACUUUAUGAAUAAGCAUCGGCUAACUCCGUGCCAGCAGCCGCGGUAAUACGGAGGAUCCGAGCGUUAUCCGGAUUUAUUGGGUUUAAAGGGAGCGUAGAUGGGUUGUUAAGUCAGUUGUGAAAGUUUGCGGCUCAACCGUAAAAGUGCAAUUGAAACUGGUAGUCUUGAGUACAGUUGAGGUAGGCGGAAUUCGUGGUGUAGCGGUGAAAUGCUUAGAUAUCACGAAGAACCCCGAUUGCGAAGGCAGCUUACUAAACUGAGACUGACAUUGAGGCUCGAAAGUGUGGGUAUCAAACAGGAUUAGAUACCCCAGUAGUC